rnacentral:rRNA from 1 species
GGCGGCGUGCCUAACACAUGCAAGUCGAACGAGAAAGUGGAGCAAUCCAUGAGUAAAGUGGCGGCGGGUGAGUAACACGUGACUAACCUACCCUUGAGUGGGGGAUAACUUCGGGAAACCGAGGCUAAUACCGCAUAAUACCUUCGGGUCAAAGGAGUAAUUCGCUUAAGGAGGGGGUCGCGGCUGAUUAGCUAGUUGGUAGGGUAAUGGCCUACCAAGGCAAUGAUCAGUAUCCGGCCUGAGAGGGCGCACGGACACACUGGAACUGAAACACGGUCCAGACUCCUACGGGAGGCAGCAGUGGGGAAUUUUGCACAAUGGGGGAAACCCUGAUGCAGCAACGCCGCGUGGAGGAUGAAGUCCCUUGGGAUGUAAACUCCUUUCGACCGGGACGAUAAUGACGGUACCGGUGGAAGAAGCCCCGGCUAACUCUGUGCCAGCAGCCGCGGUAAUACAGAGGGGGCAAGCGUUGUUCGGAAUUAUUGGGCGUAAAGGGUGCGUAGGCGGUGCGGUAAGUCUUCUGUGAAAUCUCCGGGCUCAACUCGGAGUCUGCAGGAGAAACUGCCGUGCUUGAGUAUGGGAGAGGUGAGUGGAAUUCCUGGUGUAGCGGUGAAAUGCGUAGA